AUCCAGCUGACGAGUCCCAAAUUGGACGAAAUGCGCGUCCUAGAU
rfam:Schistosoma rodhaini strain Burundi genome assembly, scaffold: SROB_scaffold0003439